rnacentral:rRNA from 1 species
GACGAACGCUGGCGGCGUGCCUAAUACAUGCAAGUUGAGCGCUGAAGGUUGGUACUUGUACCAACUGGAUGAGCAGCGAACGGGUGAGUAACGCGUGGGGAAUCUGCCUUUGAGCGGGGGACAACAUUUGGAAACGAAUGCUAAUACCGCAUAAAAACUUUAAACACAAGUUUUAAGUUUGAAAGAUGCAAUUGCAUCACUCAAAGAUGAUCCCGCGUUGUAUUAGCUAGUUGGUGAGGUAAAGGCUCACCAAGGCGAUGAUACAUAGCCGACCUGAGAGGGUGGUCGGCCACAUUGGGACUGGGACACGGCCCAAACUCCUACGGGAGGCAGCAGUAGGGAAUCUUCGGCAAUGGACGAAAGUCUGACCGAGCAACGCCGCGUGAGUGAAGAAGGUUUUCGGAUCGUAAAACUCUGUUGGUAGAGAAGAACGUUGGUGAGAGUGGAAAGCUCAUCAAGUGACGGUAACUACCCAGAAAGGGACGGCUAACUGCGUG